AUUUGCGAGAAGAGUCCGAAGAGAGUUUUUAACUUUGGAGCUUCCCCAAGUUACUUCACCUCAAAAGUCUCAGUCUUGGAAGCAAGUAACACCCAAAAAAGAAGAUAUUUCCGUCCACAUAUUAUAAAUAGAUAAUUAAUUUUGAUUACUCAGAGUCUUUGUUGUAUUGGAAACGAAUUUGUCGCAAAAGUUGAGACAAGUAUAACAUUGAUGAUGAAGACGGAUGGAUAACACACGCAUGUUCUGUGGUAACAUACUAAGCUCUUCAUCAAAACGUGAUUUCACUGUUCAUUACUUCUCUUUGUUGGCACUACGAACGAGGUUUAGCUCAAUUCACUCAAAUUAUGGUUCUCU